GCGCCCGUAGCUCAGCUGGAUAGAGUCGCAGACUUCUAAUCUGUUUGUCGCAGGUUCGAAUCCUGCCGGGCGCGCCA
rnacentral:tRNA from 1 species